rnacentral:rRNA from 1 species
AUCGAACGCUGGCGUCAGGCCAAAAACAUGCAAGUCGAGCGAGCGGUGGAUGGGCGAGUAAUGUAUGGGGACUGCGCGAAAGAGGGGGAUAACUACAAUAAACAGUAGCUAAUACCGCAUAGUAUCGGAGAACCAAUAUGUGAUUAGAUAGUAGGUGAGGUAAUGGAUCACCUAGGCGACGAUCCCUAGCUGGUCUGAGCGGAGGAUCAGCCACACUGUGACUGGGACACGGCCCAGACUCCUACGGAGGCAGCAGUGGGGAAUAUUGCACAAUGGGCGCAAGCCUGAUGCAGCCAUGCCGCGUGUAUGAAGAAGGCCCUAGGGUUGUAAAGUACUUUCAGUCGGGAGGCGUUACCGACAGAAGAAGCACCGGCUAACUCCGUGCCAGCAGCCGCGGUAAUUC